UACAGGUGUUGCAUUUAGUACAUUUAAUAGAGGUAGACGAAGGAUCAUAUCAUUAGCUAGUUUUCUUUGCCUGUGUCUAUAAGACAAUGGAACACUAGCAUAGAAAGAAAGAAAUACAAAAAAACUCACAAUGAGCGAAGGCUGAGUUAUGCAUUUUUGAAGAUUUCAUAUCAUAUGGAUGUCAAAGUUGUUCAUAUAAAGUUUAAAGACUCUAGCUGUUGCAAUUUCUGAGGGUCAGUGGAGAGAAAAAACGUUACCAAAAGUGUUGGGUUCUAUACAAAAUACAUAUAAAAGCAAAAUUUGGCGACAAAAAAACACCAGAGUGGAAGGCGAACUAAACUAAAAAAAUACUUAUAAAAAAGGAGUUUUUUCUGCAUUGUCACAUAAAUGUUACCAGAAUACAUUUAUUUAUUUAUAAAUUGCUUUUGUUUAUAAAUUAAUUUAAAUUUAGCAAACAAUUGACACUUAUUACAUACACAAUGCAAAAACAAAAUACCGUGAUGAUGAUGUGAUGAUUUUUCAUUAAAAUUAAUUAUUUUAUGUUGAUUCAA